rnacentral:rRNA from 1 species
AGAGUUUGAUCCUGGCUCAGGACGAACGCUGGCGGCGUGCCUAAUACAUGCAAGUCGAACGCUUCUUUUUCCACCGGAGCUUGCUCCACCGGAAAAAGAGGAGUGGCGAACGGGUGAGUAACACGUGGGUAACCUGCCCAUCAGAAGGGGAUAACACUUGGAAACAGGUGCUAAUACCGUAUAACAAUCGAAACCGCAUGGUUUUGAUUUGAAAGGCGCUUUCGGGUGUCGCUGAUGGAUGGACCCGCGGUGCAUUAGCUAGUUGGUGAGGUAACGGCUCACCAAGGCGACGAUGCAUAGCCGACCUGAGAGGGUGAUCGGCCACAUUGGGACUGAGACACGGCCCAAACUCCUACGGGAGGCAGCAGUAGGGAAUCUUCGGCAAUGGACGAAAGUCUGACCGAGCAACGCCGCGUGAGUGAAGAAGGUUUUCGGAUCGUAAAACUCUGUUGUUAGAGAAGAACAAGGAUGAGAGUAACUGUUCAUCCCUUGACGGUAUCUAACCAGAAAGCCACGGCUAACUACGUGCCAGCAGCCGCGGUAAUACGUAGGUGGCAAGCGUUGUCCGGAUUUAUUGGGCGUAAAGCGAGCGCAGGCGGUUUCUUAAGUUUGAUGUGAAAGCCCCCGGCUCAACCGGGGAGGGUCAUUGGAAACUGGGAGACUUGAGUGCAGAAGAGGAGAGUGGAAUUCCAUGUGUAGCGGUGAAAUGCGUAGAUAUAUGGAGGAACACCAGUGGCGAAGGCGGCUCUCUGGUCUGUAACUGACGCUGAGGCUGGAAAGCGUGGGGAGCAAACAGGAUUAGAUACCCUGGUAGUCCACGCCG